GGAAAAUCAUAUUGUAAUUCAAUAGUAUCACAUUGUAAUAAUACCACCCUCGUAUAUUAUCAUAGCAUAGCAUUUUACUACUACGAUGGCAAGGGUAUCCUAUACUAUUAGGACGGAUCAUAGCUAGCAUAGAUACAAUAAUAAUCCUAACCAUGCAACUAAUAAAAUCUAGUGCAUAAUAAAAUAAUAGGAUGAUGGUCAAAGUGAACUUGCCUUGAUAAUAGUUGGAGUUCAAACACUCGUCACAAUCGCAAGGUUCGCUCUCCGAAAUACUAUACAAUCAACAAACAUACACAUACAUAAACACACCAUACAAGCAAAAGAAUAUGUAUGUCAUGAUGCAAUGCAAAACAUGUGACAUGAGAUUGGUUUAUUUUAUUUGGGUGAUCUACUGACCCAAGGCAUUGAUAAUUAAGCACAUGCAAUUAGGGUUUUUAAAUAAAUUGCAAUGGCUAGGGUUUAAACCCUAAAAUGAGGUUUUAUUGGCAUCAGCCAAAUAGAUUAAUUCAAAAUAUUUAUUUCUCUGUCCCAUUGGACAGAGGACAAUAAAACAAAAUUUUGGGCACUGGUUUCAUUCAAAAAGGACUUCUAGAUAAUUAGUUAUGAUUUAAAUGGCAUAAAACCCUAAUCUGUAAUUUGAAUGUGAUUAAAAUAUUCAAAUUUGAAAUUGGACAGUGCCAAAAGAUUCUACAUUUCCUAAGGAUUCCAAAAAGGUGUGGAUCACUAAAUUUGGCCAAACAGAUUUGAAGUUAUGAUCAUUUGAAGUUAUAGGGGCCUAUCUGCAAAAGUGCACUUUUAUUUCAGCCGAAAAUAAAGAAAAAGAAAAAUAAAAAAAAAUGAACCUGCCACGUGGCGGCCGGGCACUGGCUGGCGCCUAGGGUUCUACCCGGGCGGCGCGGGCUCGCCGGACGGCGGCUUGGGG
rnacentral:lncRNA from 1 species